rnacentral:rRNA from 1 species
GACGAACGCUGGCGGCGUGCUUAACACAUGCAAGUCGAACGGUGACGAGGAGCUUGCUCCUCUGAUCAGUGGCGAACGGGUGAGUAACACGUGAGUAACCUGCCCCAGACUCUGGGAUAACAGUUGGAAACAGCUGCUAAUACCGGAUACGAGACGGAGAGGCAUCUCUACCGUCUGGAAAGUUUUUCGGUCUGGGAUGGACUCGCGGCCUAUCAGCUUGUUGGUGAGGUAAUGGCUCACCAAGGCGACGACGGGUAGCCGGCCUGAGAGGGCGACCGGCCACACUGGGACUGAGACACGGCCCAGACUCCUACGGGAGGCAGCAGUUGGGAAUCUUAGGCAAUGGACGAAAGUCUGACCUAGCGACGCCGCGUGAGGGAAGAAGGCCUUCGGGUUGUAACCUCUGUCAUGGGGAAGGAAGUAAGUGACGGUACCCAACGAGGAAGCCCUGCUAACUACGUG